ACUCCUACGGGAGGCAGCAGUGGGGAAUAUUGCACAAUGGGCGCAAGCCUGAUGCAGCCAUGCCGCGUGUGUGAAGAAGGCCUUCGGGUUGUAAAGCACUUUCAGUUGUGAGGAAGGUGGUGUCGUUAAUAGCGGCAUCAUUUGACGUUAGCAACAGAAGAAGCACCGGCUAACUCCGUGCCAGCAGCCGCGGUAAUACGGAGGGUGCGAGCGUUAAUCGGAAUUACUGGGCGUAAAGCGCAUGCAGGUGGUUUGUUAAGUCAGAUGUGAAAGCCCGGGGCUCAACCUCGGAACUGCAUUUGAAACUGGCAGACUAGAGUACUGUAGAGGGGGUAGAAUUUCAGGUGUAGCGGUGAAAUGCGUAGAGAUCUGAAGGAAUACCGGUGGCGAAGGCGGCCCCCUGGACAGAUACUGACACUCAGAUGCGAAAGCGUGGGGAGCAAACAGGAUUAGACACCCUGGUAGCACAGAG
rnacentral:rRNA from 1 species